AGUUGCAUGGUCUAAUGGUGUAAGUACAUAUCUACCAGAAUAUGGUCGGUUGCAUGGAUUACUGACAAUACUGUUAUAGUAUGAUAUCUCGUUCACAGUUGUUGAACUCUUUCCGAGAUGGUUCUGAGUUCGAUCCUCAGUGCAACUA